CGAGUGAAGAGGGAAAAGCUCAAAUUUUGAAUCUGACGUCUUUGGCGUCCGAGUUGUAAUCUAGAGAAGUGUUUUCCGCACCGGACCGUGCACAAGUUCCCUGGAACGGGGCGUCAUAGAGGGUGAGAAUCCCGUAUAUGGCACGGACUACCGGAGCUCUGUGAUACACUCUCAACGAGUCGAGUUGUUUGGGAAUGCAGCUCAAAAUGGGUGGUAAAUUCCAUCUAAAGCUAAAUAUAGGCGAGAGACCGAUAGCGAACAAGUACCGUGAGGGAAAGAUGAAAAGCACUUUGGAAAGAGAGUGAAACAGUACGUGAAAUUGUUGAAAGGGAAGCGUUUGAAGUCAGUCGCGUCCGUCGGGAUUCAGCCUGGCUUCUGCCUGGUGUACUUCCUGUCGGAUGGGUCAGCAUCAGUUUUGGCCGAGAGAGAAAGGCUUGGGGAAUGUGGCUGUCUUCGGGCAGUGUUAUAGCCUCUUGUUGUAUGUCUCGGUCGGGACUGAGGACUGCAGCGCGCCUUACGGCCGGGGUUCGCGCCCUCGGUACGCGCUUAGGAUGCUGGCA
rnacentral:rRNA from 1 species